rnacentral:rRNA from 1 species
GAAAGUAAAUAAGGGCGCAGGGCGGAUGCCUUGGCUCACGGAGGCGAUGAAGGACGUGAUAAGCUGCGAUAAGCUUCGGGUAGGUGCAAAUAACCGUUAAUCCGAAGAUUUCCGAAUGGGACAACCCGGCAGUCUGAAGGACUGUCAUUUGGACUUAUGUCCAAAGGCGAACGCAGGGAACUGAAACAUCUUAGUACCUGCAGGAAGAGAAAAUAAACUAAUGAUUCCCCUAGUAGUGGCGAGCGAACGGGGAAGAGCCCAAACCGUUUUUGUGGUAACGCAAGAGCGGUGUUGUAGGACCGCGACAUCGGACCUUAGAAUCGAUCGGAACGUUCUGGAAAGAACGGCCAUAGAUGGUGAAAGCCCAGUAUGAGAAGACGAUAAGGCCGUAGCGAGCUCCUGAGUAACGCGGAACACGAGAAAUUCUGCGCGAAUCCACCGGGACCAUCCGGUAAGGCUAAAUACUCCCGUGAGACCGAUAGUGAACCAGUACCGUGAGGGAAAGGUGAAAAGCACUUCGAUUAGAAGGGUGAAAGAGAUCCUGAAACCCUGCGCCUACAAGCGGUCGGAGCCGAGCAAUCGGUGACGGCGUGCCUUUUGCAUAAUGAACCUACGAGUUGCCGUCGCCGGCAAGGUUAAGGAUGAAGACAUCCCGAGCCAUAGUGAAAGCGAGCCUGAAUAGGGCGCUGAGUCGGCGGAGGCAGACGCGAAACCAAGUGAUCUACACUUGACCAGGAUGAAGUCCGGGUAACACCGGAUGGAGGUCCGCACCAAUAAGCGUUGAAAAGCUUCUGGAUGAGUUGAGUGUAGGAGUGAAAGGCCAAUCAAACUUGGAGAUAGCUCGUACUCCCCGAAAUGCAUUUAGGUGCAGCGUGGCACGAUCCCGUAGAGAGGUAGAGCGACCGAUAGGAUGAGAGGGCUUCACCGCCUAUCAAGUCCUGACGAACUCCGAAUGCUCUACGGCCGCAGUGUCGCAGUAAGGGCGCGGGUGCUAAGGUCCGUGCCCGAGAGGAGAAGAAUCCUGACCGCCGUCUAAGGCCCCGGAAUUCUGCCUGAGUUAGUCUAACGAAGUCUGGUCCCUGUGACAGCUAGGAUGUUGGCUUGGAAGCAGCCAUUCAUUCAAAGAGUGCGUAACAGCUCACUAGUCGAGGGUCCGGGCAUGGAUAAUAAUCGGGUAUAAGGCAGAUGCCGAAGAUGCGGGAUAGUAAUAAUAAAAGUAUCGGUAGGGGAGCAUUCCAGUCAGCGUUGAAUCCGGUGGAUAACCCCCGGUGGAGCGUCUGGAAAAGCAAAUGUAGGUAUAAGUAACGAUUAGGGGGGUGAGAUCCCCCCCCGCCAUAAGACUAAGGUUUCCCGGGCAACGUCAAUCGGCCCGGGGUUAGUCGGGUCCUAAGUCUAAGCCGAACGGCGAGGGCGAUGGCAGACACGGUUAAUAUUCCGUGACUAGCGUACGGAGUGAAGCGGGGACGGAGCAGUGAAACCACCGCGCGCAGACGGAAUUGCGCGUUGAAGGGUGUAGGAGUUGAUUGACGGAGGCAAAUCCCCGUCAAGAUCCGAACCUGAUAGUACGGCUGUCCCUUCGGGGAAGGCUGAUAGUGUGGGUAAACAUACUUCCUAGAAAAUCCGCUAAACUUAAUCCGUACGGUACCCGUACCGCAAACGGACACACGUAGUCGGGUAGAACAUACUAAGGCGUUGAGAGAUUCAUGGUUAAGGAACUAGGCAAAUUAACCCCGUAACUUCGGGAUAAGGGGUCCUCUCCUCCGGGAGAGGCGCAGAGAAUAGGUCCAGGCAACUGUUUAACAAAAACACAGGGCUGUGCGAAUUCGAAAGACGAAGUAUACAGCCUGACACCUGCCCGGUGCCGGAAGGUUAAGAGGAGAUGUCAUCCUUCGGGAGAAGCAUUGAAUUGAAGCCCCGGUAAACGGCGGCCGUAACUAUAACGGUCCUAAGGUAGCGAAAUUCCUUGUCGGGUAAGUUCCGACCUGCACGAAUGGUGUAAUGAUCCGGACGCUGUCUCAACCAUGAGCUCAGUGAAAUUGUAGUAUCGGUGAAGAUGCCGAUUACCCGCGAUGGGACGAAAAGACCCCGUGAACCUUUACUAUAGCUUAGCAUUGACUUUGGUCAUCCGAUGUGUAGGAUAGGCCGGAGGCUUCGAAGCGCAGGCGCCAGCCUGUGUGGAGCCAUCCUUGAAAUACGGCCCUUUGGCUGUCUGAAGUCUAACUCGUAUAACGAGGACAUUGUUUGGUGGGUAGUUUGACUGGGGUGGUCGCCUCCAAAAGCGUAACGGAGGCUUCCAAAGGUGCCCUCGGACCGAUUGGUAACCGGUCUCAUAGAGUGCAAUGGCAUAAGGGCGCUUGACUGGGAGGGAGACAUCCCGAGCAGGCAGGAAACUGGGGCAUAGUGAUCCGGCGGAUCCGUAUGGAAGGUCCGUCGCUCAAAGGAUAAAAGGUACUCCGGGGAUAACAGGCUGAUCCCCCCCAAGAGCUCAUAUCGACGGGGUGGUUUGGCACCUCGAUGUCGGCUCGUCACAUCCUGGGGCUGGAGAAGGUCCCAAGGGUUGGGCUGUUCGCCCAUUAAAGUGGCACGCGAGCUGGGUUCAGAACGUCGUGAGACAGUUCGGUCUCUAUCUAUCGUGGGCGUGGGAGUUUUGCGUGGUGCCGUCACUAGUACGAGAGGACCGUGAUGGACAGACCUCCGGUGAACCGGUUGUGCCGCCAGGCGCACCGCCGGGUAUCCGAGUCUGGGAAGGAUAAGCGCUGAAAGCAUCUAAGUGCGAAGCCAGCCACAAGAUGAGAACUCCACAUAAGGGUCGUCAUAGACUAUGACGUUGAUAGGGUGUAGGUGUAAAGGCGGUGACGCCAAAGCCGAGCACUACUAAUUGCCCGAAACUUCCUUUU